rnacentral:rRNA from 1 species
AGGAAAAGAAACUAACUAGGAUUUCCUUAGUAGCGGCGAGCGAACAGGAAAGAGCCCAGCACCGAAUCCCGCGGUUCCGCCGCAGGGAAAUGUGGUGUUCGGGAGGGUCCGAUUAUCCCGAGGUGUCGCGUCGCGUCCAAGUCCAUCUUGAAUGGGGCCACUUACCCGCAGAGGGUGCCAGGCCCGUAGCGACCGGUGCGCGUCUCGGGAGGAUCUCUCCUUAGAGUCGGGUUGCUUGAGAGUGCAGCUCUAAGUGGGUGGUAAACUCCAUCUAAGGCUAAAUACGACCACGAGACCGAUAGCGAACAAGUACCGUGAGGGAAAGUUGAAAAGAACUUUGAAGAGAGAGUUCAAGAGUACGUGAAACCGUUCAGGGGUAAACCUAAGAAACCCAAAAGAUCGAACGGGGAGAUUCAUCGUCAGCGACGCUGGCUUCGCGUCGGUGGGCGAUGUCCCGCGGGGCCUCGCGGCUCGCAGCGCGGACACGCUGCCGUGCGUCGAUGUCCGGCGUUCGUCGUCGUGCACUUCUCCCCUAGUAGAACGUCGCGACCCGCUGGGUGUCGGUCUACGGCCCGGGUGUGGUGACUGACGCGUCGCCGGUAAAACGACACGCGUCAAACCCUCGGUCGCCCGGCCGGCUGCCCGGCGGUACACGCAAGGUAUCAGGCCGCAUCUCAAUCACACGAGUGUGCGUCGAGGCCGUCGCAAGCGCGCGCCACGGUACACGGAGGUUAACGGAUGUAGCGCCGUCUCCGGUCCUGGCCCGCUGUUGGUCGUACGGUUAACCUUCGACAGGCCUACGAACGUCCCACGGGGUCAAACCCGGGGGACCGAUACCGGUCAGCGACGCUACUGCUUUGGGUACUCUUAGGACCCGUCUUGAAACACGGACCAAGGAGUCUAACAUGUACGCGAGUCAUUGGGACUAGCGAUACCUAAAGGCGUAAUGAAAGUGAAGGUCGGCCCUGGUUGUCGACCGAGGGAGGAUGGGCCGCGUCGCGAUGCGGCUCCGCACUCCCGGGGCGUCUCGUUCUCAUUGCGAGAAGAGGCGCACCCAGAGCGUACACGUUGGGACCCGAAAGAUGGUGAACUAUGCCUGGUCAGGACGAAGUCAGGGGAAACCCUGAUGGAGGUCCGUAGCGAUUCUGACGUGCAAAUCGAUCGUCGGAACUGGGUAUAGGGGCGAAAGACUAAUCGAACCAUC